GCCUCUGGGUCGAACAAAUGGAUUAAUGUGCUUGGCUGCUAACCAAAAGGUUGGAGGUUCAAGUCCACCCAGAGGUG
rnacentral:tRNA from 1 species